rnacentral:misc_RNA from 1 species
GGAAGUAAAAUCGUAACAAGGUUUCCGUAGGUGAACCUGCGGAAGGAUCAUUAUUGUAUAACCGAGGUGCGAGGGCUGUCGCUGACCCGAAAGGUCGUGCACGCCCGAGUGCCCUCACACACAUCCAUCUCACCCCUAUGUGCACCACCGCGUGGGUCCCCCUUUGGCUUGUUCGGAGGGGGGCUUACGUUUUCACACAAACUUUGUAUGCAGUGUAGAAUGUAUUUUUUGUUUUUGCGAUCACGCAAUCAAUACAACUUUCAACAACGGAUCUCUUGGCUUUC